rnacentral:lncRNA from 1 species
AUGGGCUUAUUUACUCUCAACAACAAAUGAAGACACCUGCAUGUACGGCUGUAUGCAUCUUCGUACUUGGUAUUCGAUCCACGGAUCCAGGAAUCAUGUAGCUUCUCGACUCUUUCCUCCACGACGCGCUGGGCCGCUGGCCGCUAGGGUUUCAUUGACAACGUCACGCCGGCCGCCAUGCGUCGUGCCGUCGUGCUCCGCCCGUCGUCGAGUGGUGAUUCGUGAAGCUGUCGUCGAUCGGGCAUCAAUCGAGUACAGGCUGCCACAAGUUCAUGCCUAAUUCUUAAGUGAAAACUGUCGAUCAUGUCCCGUGUUCAGAUAAAGAGGUAAAUGUAAUAAGUCUACAGGUUCAUACUAUUGUAGAUUUGUAGUUGUCACUCGUU